rnacentral:rRNA from 1 species
GUGACCGGAUGCCGAUCUCGAAAACCUGUCCCAGUUCGGACUGGAGUCUGCAACCCGACUCCACGAAGUUGGAUUCGCUAGUAAUCGCGCAUCAGCCAUGGCGCGGUGAAUACGUUCCCGGGCCUUGUACACACCGCCCGUCAAGCCAUGGGAGCCGGGGGCGCCUGAAGUCCGGGACCGCGAGGACCGGCCUAGGGCGAAACUGGUGACUGGGGCUAAGUCGUAACAAGGUAUC